rnacentral:rRNA from 1 species
AGCUUAAUGAGGGGAACUCAGGGAACUGAAACAUCUAAGUACCUGAAGGAAGAGAAAGAAAUUCGAUUCCGUAAGUAGCGGCGAGCGAACGCGGAUUAGCCCAAACCAAUAAAGUUUUCUUUGUUGGGGUUGCGGACAUAUCAUAACGAAGAGGUAUCGUAAUUGAAGAGGUUUGGAAAGACCCACCACAGAAGGUAAUAGUCCUGUAUGUUAAACGAGAAGACUUUAGAUAUGAUCCAGAGUACCACGGGACACGUGAAACCCUGUGGGAAGCAGGAGGGACCACCCUCCAAGGCUAAAUACUACCUAGUGACCGAUAGCGUAUAGUACCGUGAGGGAAAGGUGAAAAGAACCCCGGGAGGGGAGUGAAAUAGAACCUGAAACCCUGCACUUACAAGCUGUGGAAGCACAUUUCUUGUGUGACUGCGUACUUUUUGUAGAACGGGCCAACGAGUUACGUUAAGUAGCAAGGUUAAGCACUUAAGGUGCGGAGCCGUAGCGAAAGCGAGUUUUAACUGAGCGUUCAGUUACUUGACGUAGACCCGAA